AUUAUUAUCAUCCAAUAAGAGGUUAGGGUGCUGUUAGGACAUCAGCCUGUAGGAGUGAGAAUUUCUACAUUCCAGCCAAUGGGAUGGCUGAGCCCGCCUCUCAGCUAGCGAGGGAGAUAGGAAGAGAUUCCAGUAGUAACUGGGUCAUCGUAGCGGUAUGCUGAUGCUGCCGUUACGGGUAUAAAUUACCAACAGUGCUGAGUGUCACGAAAGAGUCGAAGUUGGAAGGCAUGCUAGAGUAAUGUGCUGUUCUCUUGCACUGGAGGACACACAGACUGUACUGACUCGGUACUCGGAGAACCGAGGGACUGUGAACUCCGUCUCACCAAGACCAGAGUUUAGUUAAGUGAGUAGUUCAGUGUGAUCUGAUUUGAGUACCACUUCGUUUGAAAGAUGUGUUAACUUAAUAAUUGUGUAGUGUACAUAUACUGUAGUCAUCUGAUAAUUGUUUAGUGUAUAAGUUCGGGAUUCUAAUUUGUUAUUUCUUUUAUUUCUUUUAUUUCCUUACUGUUAUAUUUGUUCCUAUUUGGUAUUUUAUACAAUAUAUGAAGUUAACUUAAUUUGUGUGUCUGGCACUUCACUGUCGCCAUCCAACUCGUAGCUCCAGCGAGUGAAUCUAUAGUCUUUUGAUCUGGCCCAAUUACAACCAUCUAGGUAUCGACUACUCAUUACGGUCAUCACACGCUGUAAUACCCCGGUAAGUGACCCGCCCUCGAUGAGUGGGUUACAUAGUGGUUAAGCACAAGCUCUUCAGAAUGCUCUCAUUAUUCUAUCCUGCUUUAUUCUAUCCUGUAUUAACCAUCUUUCUGAAAUAAACCUUUUUACCUUCAGAGGACGAGUCUGCGAGUGUUGUCUAAUUUCCACUACAAUUUGGCGUCUCCUGGUUGGGCUGCGUGAGUCUUUUCAGCUUUUCUGGACAACAAGCAAACCGGAGGGCGCCUGUGGAAAAGUUUCAUCCAGAAACCUUUGCCCUAAAUAAAGGUUUGCCCUUUAUUAUGCAGAGCAAAAGACCAAUGCAGCCUUCCCAUUGACUGGUAGGAAUCAUCAAGAAUUUAGAAUUAGAAUUUUAUGAAGUCAUUGUGUAUUGCUGUCUGUAUGGAAGGGAGUCAGUGAUAUAAGAAAUGUGUGUAUUACAUUGAAAGAAGUAUUACAUGGAGGCGAUUUAUUAUAAGAAGUUCCAGGAACUUUGCCUCUGAACUUCGCCUUCGCUCUCUCAUUAUUCUAUCCUGCUUUAUUCUAUCCUGUAUUAACCAUCUUUCUGUAAUAAAUCUUUUUAUCUUCA